rnacentral:rRNA from 1 species
GCAUACGACCUUCGGGUGAAAGCAGGGGAAUCUCUCGGGAUCCUUGCGCGAUUGAAUGAGCCGAUGUCGGAUUAGCUAGUUGGUAGGGUAAAAGCCUACCAAGGCCACGAUCCGUAGCUGGUCUGAGAGGAUGAUCAGCCACACUGGGACUGAGACACGGCCCAGACUCCUGCGGGAGGCAGCAGUGGGGAAUAUUGGACAAUGGGGGCAACCCUGAUCCAGCCAUACCGCGUGGGUGAAGAGGGCCUUCUGGGUUGUAAAGCCCUUUUGUUGGGGAAGAAAAACAACGGGUUAAUACCCCGUUGGUAUGACGGUACCCAAAGAAUAAGCACCGGCUAACUUCGUGCCAGCAGCCGCGGUAAUACGAAGGGUGCAAGCGUUACUCGGAAUUACUGGGCGUAAAGGGUGCGUAGGUGGUUGCGCCAGUCUGUCGUGAAAGCCCUGGGCUUAACCUGGGAAUGGCGAUGGAAACUGUGCAACUAGAGUGUGACAGAGGGUGGUGGAAUUCCUGGUGUAGCAGUGAAAUGCGUAGAGAUCAAGAGGAACAUUCGUGGCGAAGGCGGCCACCUGGGUCAACUCUGACACUGAGGCACGAAAGCGUGGGGA